GACGAACGCUGGCGGCGUGCUUAACACAUGCAAGUCGAACGGAAAGGCCCUGCUGUUGUGGGGUGCUCGAGUGGCGAACGGGUGAGUAACACGUGAGUAACCUGCCCUUGACUUUGGGAUAACUUCAGGUAACUGGGGCUAAUACCGGAUAGGAGCUCCUGCUGCAUGGUGGGGGUUGGAAAGUUUCGGCGGUUGGGGAUGGACUCGCGGCUCAUCAGCUUGUUGGUGGGGUAGUGGCUUACCAAGGCUUUGACGGGUAGCCGGCCUGAGAGGGUGACCGGCAAAAUUGGGACUGAGAUAGGGCCCAGACUCCUACGGGAGGCAGCAGUGGGGAAUAUUGCACAAUGGGCGGAAGCCUGAUGCAGCAACGCCGCGUGCGGGAUGACGGCCUUCGGGUUGUAAACCGCUUUCGCAUGUGACGAAGCGUGUGUGACGGUAAUGGGUAAAGAAGCACCGGCUAACUACGUG
rnacentral:rRNA from 1 species